AUUGAACGCUGGCGGCAGGCCUAACACAUGCAAGUCGAGCGAGCGGCGGACGGGUGAGUAAUGUCUGGGAAACUGCCUGAGGGAGGGGGAUAACUACUGGAAACGGUAGCUAAAACAGCAUACCAUCAGAUGUGCCCAGGUGGGAUUAGCUAGUAGGGGGGGUAACGGCUCACCUAGGCGACGAUCCCUCGCUGGGCUGAGAGGAUGACCAGCCACACUGGAACGGUGACACGGUCCAGACUCCUACGGGAGGCAGCAGUGGGGAAUAUUGCACACUGGGCGCAAGCCUGAUGCAGCCAUGCCGCGUGUGUUAGGAAGGCCUUCGGGUUGUAAAGCACUUUCAGCGGGGAGGCGUUACCCGCAGAAGAAGCACCGGCUAACUCCGUGCCAGCAGCCGCGGUAAUUC
rnacentral:rRNA from 1 species